rnacentral:rRNA from 1 species
AGAGUUUGAUCCUGGCUCAGAUUGAACGCUGGCGGAAUGCUUUACACAUGCAAGUCGAACGGCAGCACGGGGGCAACCCUGGUGGCGAGUGGCGAACGGGUGAGUAAUACAUCGGAACGUGCCCAGUCGUGGGGGAUAACGUAGCGAAAGCUACGCUAAUACCGCAUACGAUCUCUGGAUGAAAGCGGGGACCGCAAGGCCUCGCGCGAUUGGAGCGGCCGAUGGCAGAUUAGGUAGUUGGUGGGGUAAAGGCUCACCAAGCCGACGAUCUGUAGCUGGUCUGAGAGGACGACCAGCCACACUGGGACUGAGACACGGCCCAGACUCCUACGGGAGGCAGCAGUGGGGAAUUUUGGACAAUGGGCGAAAGCCUGAUCCAGCCAUUCCGCGUGCAGGAUGAAGGCCCUCGGGUUGUAAACUGCUUUUGUACGGAACGAAACGGUCCUGGUUAAUACCUGGGGCUAAUGACGGUACCGUAAGAAUAAGCACCGGCUAACUACGUG